GAGUUUGAUCCUGGCUCAGGACGAACGCUGGCGGCAUGCCUAACACAUGCAAGUCGAGCGAGUUGAUCCCUUCGGGGUGAAGCUAGCGGCGGACGGGUGAGUAACACGUGGGCAACCUGCCUCAUAGAGGGGAAUAGCCUCCCGAAAGGGAGAUUAAUACCGCAUAAGAUUGUAGCUUCGCAUGAAGUAGCAAUUAAAGGAGUAAUCCGCUAUGAGAUGGGCCCGGGCGCAUUAGCUAGUUGGUGAGGUAACGGCUCACCAAGGCGACGAUGCGUAGCCGACCUGAGAGGGUGAUCGGCCACAUUGGGACUGAGACACGGCCCAAACUCCUACGGGAGGCAGCAGUAGGGAAUCUUCGGCAAUGGACGAAAGUCUGACCGAGCAACGCCGCGUGAGUGAA
rnacentral:rRNA from 1 species